rnacentral:rRNA from 1 species
CUGGACAGGGCGAGCUGAUCAGCCAUGCCGCGUGUGUGAGAAGGUCUUCGGAUUGUAAAGCACUUUAAGUUGGGAGGAAGGGUUGUAGAUUAAUACUCUGCAAUUUUGACGUUACCGACAGAAUAAGCACCGGCUAACUCUGUGCCAGCAGCCGCGGUAAUA